GAGCGAAAAUAAUUAAACUUUUUUUUUACUUAAUCUCCUACUUCUUUCAGCAGGUGUUAAAUUGCCAGAAGCCAUCAGCCUUUGGCUGCAACAUAGCAGAGUUCAAGAAGGUAAAAGUUGCCAAAGGUGAAGGGGCUCUGGUCAAGCAAUCACCAAUGGAAAUGGAAAGGUGAAGCACACUCCUUCACUGCCCUCCUUGGUGAGCUGGGUGCUGGGACAAACUCCUGGGAAAGAAGAGAGCAUCAGACACAACUUGGAACCCCACCUGCAAGCUCACCAGAUGAAGUCUUCCCAGUUUCCUUCUACUCUGAUGCCUUGGGUUUGGAUCCCAGCACAGGGCACAUGUGAGGAGGACCCUUUGACUAGUAAGGGAACUCUUGUAUCCAG
rnacentral:lncRNA from 1 species